GUCCCUAUCGUCUAGAGGCAUAGGACAUCGCCCUUUCACGGCGGUAACCGGGGUUCGAAUCCCCGUAGGGACGCCA
rnacentral:tRNA from 1 species